rnacentral:rRNA from 1 species
UCUCCCUACGGGACGCAGCAGUGGGGGAUAUUGCACAAUGGGGGGAACCCUGAUGCAGCGACGCCGCGUGGGUGAAGAAGUCAUUCGUGAUGUAAAGCUCUAUCAGCAGGGAAGAAAAUGACGGUACCUGAGUAAGAAGCCCCGGCUAACUACGUGCCAGCAGCCGCGGUAAUACGUAGGGGGCAAGCGUUAUCCGGAUUUACUGGGUGUAAAGGGAGCGUAGACGGCCAGACAAGUCUGAAGUGAAAAUCCAGCGCUUAACGUUGGAAGUGCUUUGGAAACUGCCGGGCUAGAGUGCAGGAGGG